rnacentral:lncRNA from 1 species
AGCAUGGAUGAGCAGGGGCGGCUUCUGGUAGUGCAGGAGCAGCUGGAGGGGCAGCUGCAGUGCUGCCAGGAGGAGCUCCGCCAGCUCAGGGAGAAGAGGCCCUCUGUUGUCAAAGAAGCCCGGGGGAAGAAUGCUAAUAAGAACAUGAACAAGAAUGCCAAUGGGGUUAAAAUGAAAAAGGUGACCAAGCCAUGCUCGGAUACUUCUGAGAGCGACCUUGAGACCAGAAAGAGUCUGGAGGUAGUGCUGUACUACAAGGCCAGCCAGAGGAAAUUAGAUGGACUAGCAAAAGAGGAGGAAAAAAAGGAGGAAGUGAAAGAGGAAGCAAAGGAGCAGUGUGGGGACGAGCUAGUUGCUGAGCCAGCAGAUCCUGGGGAAGCUAAAUCCACAGAAGAUCAGGAGGAAAAUGAAGAGGACAAAGAGGAAGAGGAGAAGGAAGAAGACAGUGAAGAGGAGGAAGAUGACGUCGACUCUUCCCUUGAAAGUCCCGAAGAAAAUAACCCCCUCAGACUUUCCGAGAGCAAAAAGAAGUCUUAAGGCACUACGGGUGAAACCCAAAGAGUUCAGCCACAGCCUUCCACCACCUCAGACCCAGCCCGGCCCAAUCAGAGGGAGAGGAAGAACUGCUGGUGAAGGGUUCUCCUGGUGGGGCCUGUUAUCCCCAGAGCUCCGGGAGGCCCCAACAUGCACCUGUGCAGCCAGGACCUGAGGGAGCACAGUGUGGUAGAAAGCGUGGCUGCCAGGCGGUCAGAAGAACUUGGUUGAGUCUGUCUCUACUGACAGGCGUUGUCCCAGGGAGCAAAAUGCACACUCUGAGCUCUAGUUUCUUCAAAUGUAAGCAAAGGAUGAUCAAACCUCUGCCCUCCUCACAGGUUUUUGUCAGGACCAGAUGGGUUGAAGUAGAUGAAAGUAUUCUAUAAAUUAUAAAAUACCCCAUCAUUAAUAAAAAGAGCACGCACUUACAAAAUGCAGUCUUAUGUGUCAGGC